AUGCGUCAGAUUCUUCAGAGUUUUUCUUUCUCAUGUAAUAAGGUCGACAAUCAUACUUGUGAGGCUUGCCGUCUUGGCAAGCACUUUCGUCUUCCCUUUAGCGAGUCUACAAACAUUUCCACCUUUCCGUUUCAGCUAUUGCAUAGUGAUGUUUGGACGUCCCCGGUUGCUAGCAACACGGGCUAUUUAUACUAUCUGGUGAUAUUGGAUGAUUUUUCUCAUUAUGUGUGGACAUUCCCUCUCCGUCGCAAGUCCGACGCUCUUGCCACACUCACAGCCUUUUAUUCAUAUGUCACCACACAGUUCGGUCGUCCCAUUCUCGCCUUGUGUAAGUGCAUCUAG
rnacentral:rRNA from 1 species